GGCUCACCUAGGCGACGAUCCCUAGCUGGUCUGAGAGGAUGACCAGCCACACUGGAACUGAGACACGGUCCAGACUCCUACGGGAGGCAGCAGUGGGGAAUAUUGCACAAUGGGCGCAAGCCUGAUGCAGCCAUGCCGCGUGUAUGAAGAAGGCCUUCGGGUUGUAAAGUACUUUCAGCGGGGAGGAAGGGAGUAAAGUUAAUACCUUUGCUCAUUGACGUUACCCGCAGAAGAAGCACCGGCUAACUCCGUGCCAGCAGCCGCGGUAAUACGGAGGGUGCAAGCGUUAAUCGGAAUUACUGGGCGUAAAGCGCACGCAGGCGGUUUGUUAAGUCAGAUGUGAAAUCCCCGGGCUCAACCUGGGAACUGCAUCUGAUACUGGCAAGCUUGAGUCUCGUAGAGGGGGGUAGAAUUCCAGGUGUAGCGGUGAAAUGCGUAGAGAUCUGGAGGAAUACCGGUGGCGAAGGCGGCCCCCUGGACGAAGACUGAC
rnacentral:rRNA from 1 species